rnacentral:rRNA from 1 species
AGAGUUUGAUCAUGGCUCAGAACGAACGCUGGCGGCAGGCUUAACACAUGCAAGUCGAGCGCCCCGCAAGGGGAGCGGCAGACGGGUGAGUAACGCGUGGGAAUCUACCCAGCCCUACGGAAUAGCUCCGGGAAACUGGAAUUAAUACCGUAUACGUCCGAUAGGAGAAAGAUUUAUCGGGGUUGGAUGAGCCCGCGUUGGAUUAGCUAGUUGGCGGGGUAAUGGCCCACCAAGGCGACGAUCCAUAGCUGGUCUGAGAGGAUGAUCAGCCACACUGGGACUGAGACACGGCCCAGACUCCUACGGGAGGCAGCAGUGGGGAAUAUUGGACAAUGGGCGAAAGCCUGAUCCAGCCAUGCCGCGUGAGUGAUGAAGGCCCUAGGGUUGUAAAGCUCUUUCACCGGUGAAGAUAAUGACGGUAACCGGAGAAGAAGCCCCGGCUAACUUCGUGCCAGCAGCCGCGGUAAUACGAAGGGGGCUAGCGUUGUUCGGAAUUACUGGGCGUAAAGCGCACGUAGGCGGACUAUUAAGUCAGGGGUGAAAUCCUGGAGCUCAACUCCAGAACUGCCUUUGAUACUGAUGGUCUCGAGUCCGGAAGAGGUGAGUGGAAUUCCGAGUGUAGAGGUGAAAUUCGUAGAUAUUCGGAGGAACACCAGUGGCGAAGGCGGCUCACUGGUCCGGUACUGACGCUGAGGUGCGA